GGCCCGGUAGCGGAUGGUCCGUCCCUCCAUUCAAUUCGUGGAGUCGAGACGUACUAUUCUGAAGGUGUCGCUCGUUCGAAUCGAGCCCGGGCCA